GACUCGGUGGCGAACUGGUAGCGCGUCCGACUCCAGAUCAGAAGGUUGCGUGUUCGAAUCACGUCCGGGUCA
rnacentral:tRNA from 1 species